rnacentral:lncRNA from 1 species
UGCUCCUAUAUUUUUUACUAUAUUAACUCCUGUGUUUCAAUACUUCUCUGUUUGUAUUCAAGUACAAUUUGAACCCACUUUUCACAUUUUUAAGCAGAUGUGCCUACAGUUUUCUUCAUAACUGUAAGACUGCCUUUGUCUUUUCUACUUUUCAGCAUGGAACCUAGAAAUGAUGUAAAUAAAUAGAACUUGAAUAGAAUUAACUAGUUCUGGAUUGGCCUGGAAUUAUUGCAACAGUGAAGAAAUUUAAGAUGUGAUACUCAGAUGAGUUUACAAACAGUUUGUGACUGAUUAUUUGGUUUUGUUCCGGCAUUAACCCUUUACUGGGAUAACGUCAGCUAUCAAAAAAUCAUAGAAUCUCUUUACCUGGGAGGCCUGUAAAUUUUAUAGGACUCCAAAAAAUCACAGAAUCUCUUUAUCUGGGAGGCCUGUAAAUUUUAUAGGACUCCUAGGGGGCGUCAGUUGCUCAAAUCAGGAUCUGACAGCCCCUCGGCCCCUACCAUUGGUCUCUUUCAACAUAUUCCAUUCUCUUUCAGCUCAUGGCAUUGUAUGCAACGUCUGUAGUGGUGGAAACGGCAAGCUUUGCUAUUCCAAAGUAGAGUUGUGCAAGACUGACACUGGGAAAUGUUACACGUAUGCAAGCUACCUUGACAAGGAGCUCUAUUACGUCAGUUACGAUUGCCUCCAUCAUGACUAUUUGAUAUGGUAUUGCAAUAAAACUGAAAAGGACGAAAGAUACACCCAUGUUGCGACUUGCUGUGAGACUGAUAAAUGCAAUGGAGAAAUACCCCGUCUGCCUUGGAGCUGAAAUUAAAUGAUUGAAAAGAUCCAGAGAGGGUUGUAAGCUGGCUCUUCUCAAAGAAAAGGACUGCAAACUCACUCUGCUCCCCUUUCUUCAACAUUUGAAUUUUUAAAAAAUUUAACAGAUUGGUCAGAUGUGUGGUGUAGAAAUGGAAUCAAUCAAUCAAUUGAUCGAUCAAUCAAUCAAUCAAAUUGAUGCAAAAACACAAUUUUGAGAUGAAAUUAAAACAAUGAAGGCUUUUGCAUUGGUAAUAAGAGCCACUGUUGAAUCAGGUUUUUCUUAAAUAAAAAUGGUUUUAAAAACA